GGGCGGUUAGCUCAGUUGGCUGGAGCGUCUGGUUUACACCCAGAAGGUCGCAAGUUCGAGCCUUGCACCGCCCACCA
rnacentral:tRNA from 1 species